GGAUCAAUGACAGCCACAAAAUUGCUGCGAAAAUCUGAAAAUAAGUUGAAGAAAACUAUGGUGCUGAGACCAAUGAGAUUUUGGUUUUUUAUCGCAAGCUUUCUCAGCCACGACUUCUCGGCCAAGUGAAAAUAUAAGGCGGCCGAGUGACUGAGGUUGCUCUUAAAAUCUUCUCCUUCAUCCCAUUUUUCUCAUCUAACAAACCCUAGGGUGUACGAAGAAGAAGAAGGGUGUCAGGGAAAAAGCUACUGCUUGGAAAAAUCGCGUUCAGAAUCAGCCCUAUGGAGUGGAGUCAUGUGAAUGGAAGCAGUGAUUGCAUGGUUCCUGCUGCGCUAGAUGGGCUUGGGUUCUAUCGCCGUCAAGAGAAGAUUGGUUUCAUUGGGGGGUUAAUGGAUUUGAGAUUAAUGGAUUUGCUAGGAAAUACAAUGAUACAUCUGAGGAAGAAAAUCUGGCAAACUUGAACUCUGAUAUAAGAGUGCCACCUGUGAAUCAAUUUUAUCUGUGUGAUGGAUCGAACAGUUCGAGUCCUUGUGAAGAUGGUUUGGUGCAUGACUUCUGUAUGAGAACUUCUGAUGACUUGUUCAGUGAUUUACCUGAUUUUGAGAUUCAGACCAGCAUGGAGAACAUGGAUGACAUUCUCUUGGAUUCUUUCUCAUUGCUGGAUCAAAUGUAUUUGGAGAAUUCAUAUGAAUCACUGCAUAUUACAGAUUCCACACACCACCCAUGGAAUUCGAGAAUCUCAGUACUUGAACAUUCAGAGACUCUUAUGAAGGAUUUGUCAAGAAGAAAAGAUGCAAUGAAUGAGGUAGGA